CAAAUAUAUGCUUUCCUAGCCAAUUAUCAAAUAUUAACUGGGAAGGUGAAAAAGGGUUCUGUUUUGUACCUUCAAAGCUUUCACACAAACAGGAGUGAGCUAUGGAUUUAGAAGCCUCAAAGAAGUUUUCAAAAAUAACCAGUAAAGUCAGUGCAAUGGAGAAAAAAAUCCCUCUUGCAGUGAAAGCUACUGUUGUUGUGUUAAAAUCAAGGGGGAUGUGAAUACCUCCGGUUGGAUAACUUCAGUUCAGCUACUGAAGAUAGGAAGUAUCUUUGGGUCCAAGUAAACUCAUGAAGAAACCACAUUUGGCCCUCAGUUGGUGUGAAGAGCAGGCAAACGCUAUUCCCAGGCUUAGCAUCCUGCCUAUGCUGAAGAUAUGGAUUGCCAAAAUUUGGACUUAGAGGUUUCAAACUUCUGUCCAGAAUGUGAUCUCUCCUGCAAGCAAAUAUUGGAGCCCAUUUCUAGCAUCAUAAUUCAGCUGCAAAUUGUACAGGCAUAGAUACGGCUUUUCUUCAGGCAGUGUGCUACGAAAGAAUUAACCUGAAUUAAUGGACUUAAAAAGCCCCCAAGAGUAGAGUAAUUUUCACCUAUAGUACUACUAUAAGGCACAUUGAUUGUUGUUGAUUUCCUUUGAUUUCAUUUCACAGACAUAUAAUAAAUCCAAUAAAAACGUUCACCUCUGAGCCUCACAAAAUCUUGAUCAGAGGAAUAAUGUGGUUUUCACACUCCUGCUCAUGAUCAGUGAUUUCUCUUUUGCAGAUUCUUUAACUUUGUAAUAGAUGAAACUGAAUCUUACAUUGGUUCAGUUGCCUUGAGUCUGGACAUAGGAAGUGGAUCUAAGCAAAAAUUUAUAGUCUUUCCAGGCUCAAUUGCUUUAAAUGGUCUUAUCUAGAUUGGGGAAAAAAAAAAAAAAAAGAAAAAAAAAGUACUUACUCUUUAUUGAAGCUACAAGUCCUAGAGUUUUUUGAAAGAUAAAACCUAUUAUUUCUUCUUCUUACUUCCAGCCUCUGCCUCAUAUCUGACUUCAGCAUAUUGCAGAGCUGUUUCCUAAGGUAUUUAGUCUUCUCAGACUGCUCUGCUGCAGUAUAUGCAGAUACAUUUCUGAACAUAAACCCUGUGGUAAUAUUAGGAUUAGCUCAUUUUUCCUACCACAUUUUUUUUUUCCUACCAAAUUUAUCUUAAAAUCUAUGUUUUUUUAUAUUAAAACUAUGCACAGAUCAGUGUUUCACUCCUAAAGCAAUAAUUCCUUUUCAUCUACAAACAUGAAUGUGGUGCUCACUGUAAUCCAUUCAGAAUACCAUCCUGUUCUGCUUGGUAAUAUUCACUUUCAUUUUACAUAAAGGUAAACUCCUGAUCCCAUGGAAGUUGACAGGAAAUUUGUAAUUGAAUGAAAAGUAGACUUCUACCAAAAUUUGUAAAUUUUCUAAUAAAAAGAUGGUAUUACCAUUUGUAAGUAAAUCAAAUCUGUAACACAUGGUUUAAUAUAUGCAUGUCACCUACAAAGAUAAUACAAAGAGCACAAAUACUUUCUAAUUACCUUUGUCACCUUCAUGAAGUCCCUGCCAGUGGUUCAUGAUGAGGUUAAGAAGACCCUGUUACGUUCUCAGCAGGGAUGAGACGAGUUGAUGAUCCUGGAGGUGGUGUCAUCCCAGCUUCAUGACUGCAAAACACCGAAAUCCUCCCUUCUGAAAGCUUGAAGAUGUACUAGAGAUUUGACACUGGUAUCUCCAGAGCUCUCUGAAUCCUUAUCUCCAUAAUCUCCUACGGAGCUUCAAGAUAUAAACUUCUUAUUUAGACAUCAUAUGCGUUAACUGAAGUAAAAGCAUCCUCGUCUGAGAAGAUAUAUGGCAUCUCAGCUGGCCAAUGUGCUCCCAUCUUUUUCUUCGGUUAUAUUUCCUCCAGACUGCUCCUGGACAUCAACUCUAGACAGUUUCUUGGAUAACAGACUGGUGGUAACCUUCAGGAGUUGUAACAGCAGCAUGUGCUUGGAUCAAAAAAGAGACUUGAGCUCUGUUCUUAAAUAACAGGCAAGUUCAGCUCUUGUUUACACGCAUGAGACUUUUACUGACAAUGAUGAGCUUAGAGCUGUAUAUACUACUCACGCAGAAUACAUAAUCAAGAGUGGAAACUAAUAAUUCUGAGACACCAGCUUUUAAAAAGACAGGAUUUAGAUGUGUUUGUGAUUACGGUGAUAUUUUAAACAAUUCUCAUAAUAAAGUGCUCUGCAUGUGUGAGUACUGCUUACUGACUGAAAGGUAGAUCACAAACGUGUAUGUGGGAUCUCACACCUGGCAGAAAACCAUUUUGUUGUCUCCUAUCUGCAGCCCUGUUUGGGCAUGCUUCAUUAGCUCCACCUGUGCAGGAGAAGUAGAGGAAAGAGUCCUGAGACAAAUCUGGAUCUUGGGGUAAAGUCUGUAUUGAUCUGUAGGUUGUAAAACUCUUUCUCCUGUAGUCUGUGAAAAUUCAGAACAGAAGCAACAAUCAAAGGAAGAAAAGCUUAUUUUUACAAAAUAGGAUUUUAAAAUCUUUCAUUGUAAUCCUAGACGGGCUUUGUUCUGACUGACUGCUAGGAUCAGAUUUACGCCAACUUUGGGGGAGUCCCAGUGGGGCAAAAUUGUUGCUUAACCUGGUAGAUAGCUUCCAGUAAUGGAUAGUUUAUAUAAAAUGGGAAUGUUUGGAUCAUUAAAUCUUAACUUGGAUUUUUUUUGCUAAGGAGCCACGUCCAGGCUCCAUUAACAUUUCAUCUUAUAAGCUUCUGUAAUUAGUUUCCUGUGAAAUUCUUACUUUGCCA
rnacentral:lncRNA from 1 species